rnacentral:rRNA from 1 species
UACGAAGGGGGCGAGCGUUGUUCGGAUUUACUGGGCGUAAAGGGCGCGCAGGCGGCGAUCUUUGUCAGGCGUGAAAGCCCCGGGCUCAACCUGGGAACUGCGUUUGGGACGGGAUUGCUAGAGAUCGGGAGAGGAGAGUGGAAUUCCCAGUGUAGAGGUGAAAUUCGUAGAUAUUGGGAAGAACACCAGUGGCGAAGGCGGGUCUCUGGGCCGUUACUGACGCUGAGGAGCGAAAGCGUGGGGAGCGAACAGG